rfam:Coniochaeta ligniaria NRRL 30616 unplaced genomic scaffold CONLIGscaffold_3, whole genome shotgun sequence.
GGCCGCGUGGCCUAAUGGCUAAGGCGCCAGAUUUCGGUUAAGAAAUCACAAUCUCUGGAGAUUGCAGGUUCGACUCCUGCCGCGGUCG